CCUUGAAAUACCACCCUGGUUUGUUUGAGGUUCUAACCUUGGCCCGUGAUCCGGGUCGGGGACAGUGCAUGGUAGGCAGUUUGACUGGGGCGGUCUCCUCCCAAAGCGUAACGGAGGAGUACGAAGGUACGCUAGGUACGGUCGGAAAUCGUGCUGAUAGUGCAAUGGCAUAAGCGUGCUUAACUGCGAGACCGACAAGUCGAGCAGGUGCGAAAGCAGGUCAUAGUGAUCCGGUGGUUCUGUAUGGAAGGGCCAUCGCUCAACGGAUAAAAGGUACUCUGGGGAUAACAGGCUGAUACCGCCCAAGAGUUCAUAUCGACGGCGGUGUUUGGCACCUCGAUGUCGGCUCAUCUCAUCCUGGGGCUGUAGCCGGUCCCAAGGGUAUGGCUGUUCGCCAUUUAAAGAGGUACGUGAGCUGGGUUUAAAACGUCGUGAGACAGUUUGGUCCCUAUCUGCCGUGGGCGUUGGAUAUUUGAAGGGGGCUGCUCCUAGUACGAGAGGACCGGAGUGGACGAACCUCUGGUGUACCGGUUGUGACGCCAGUCGCAUCGCCGGGUAGCUAUGUUCGGAAGAGAUAACCGCUGAAAGCAUCUAAGCGGGAAACUCGCCUUAAGAUGAGAUAUCCCUGGGGACUUGAUCCCCUUGAAGGGUCGUUCGAGACCAGGACGUUGAUAGGUCAGGUGUGUAAGCGCAGUAAUGCGUUCAGCUAACUGAUACUAAUUGCCCGUAAGGCUUGAUCCUAUAACA
rnacentral:rRNA from 1 species